GGAACCUAAGAGAGCCCCCACAUCUCACAACCUGUUCGUGCCCCCAGAGGUCCUAAAUCCCAGCUCUGGACCUUUUCCACCAUGGCUCAUGUUACUCUCUCAUCAGUUCUCUACCCUGGGAUGGUAUUUCUUCUCAUCUGACCUGAGCAGAGCUCAGAGGACGGAGGACGGCCUCACACUUUGCACCCAUGACUCUCUUGGACUGAAUGGUAUGCAAGACAAGCCCUAGCUGAAGAAACAACGGAGAUCAAGGAACAAACAAACAGACAACAGAUUCCUGAACCUGGCUUUCACAUGGCCCCAGGCCGCUUCCCUGACCUGGGGUCCUCCAAUUUCUUCCAUGCCCAGGAAGUUCCAGACAAACCAACCAGACCUCGUUCUCCUAGACACAGCAUACACUCGAUUCACGCCAUUUCCCCCUUGGAAUCGCCUUCUGUUCUCAGCUCACUCACCUCGCUGAAAAAAAUCCCACUUAACUUUCGAUGUCCAAGCCAACGCCGGCUCCUCCGAUGCCGACCCUCUUUCAGGCAGAAUUAGCUGUUCCCUCUUCUACACCUUCCCAGCAUUCUAUUCACGGGGCUAAUCUACUGACCAACAGUUUGGGUAAGCUACCUUUCUUGCCUCCCUCCAAAAAGAUAUAGGCCCUUCUUUUUGGUCUCCUACGUAAUCAAGUAACUCUGUUACACUUACACCCUAUGCCACUGUGUGUGCUUGAGUGGGUGCGUGUGAGUGGGCACUGAGCUUCAUAACCUGUCUGUCUACUACAUGAAACCACGAUCUCCUCAAAGAUCAAUACUGUCUUAUCUUUCUUUGAAUCCCUCGCGCCAAGAGAGAGCACAGAGUUUUAGUAGCCACUAAAUAAUUCUUCAGUCAAAAUUAAAAUUAGACAUCAUCCCCUACUCAGCCUCUCCCAGCCCUAAGAAGUGGGCUUCUGUCACCACAGCACACUGUGCAUACCAACUUUAACUGAGACUAUCUGCCGAUGAGUCCAUGUCCUUGACUAAGACUGGAGACCAAUGUUCGCGAACAACGGAACAGAGUUUCCCGUUGUUUCUUUUCAGGCAUACACACCGCAUCUUUCACCACUUGUACGUUUUGACAUCUCCUCCAGCCCUGGACUGAGAGCAAGCAUUUAGCAAGUAUCUGUCAAGUGGCAGACCCUUCUUGAAUGUUCCAGAAUAAGUUGAGAGGACGCCAUGUCCGUCUCAGCUGUGUUUCCAGGAAAGGACGGAUUGAGCCUUUCAGGGCUACGCCCCCCCCCCAACCUUAACUGAUGUCCUGUAUCUAUCCUGGUAUUUCAGUGUGAUUAGUCAAGUCACCACAAACGAGAAUCUGUCACUGUCCUCAUUUCCGGCUCAUUUACAUGGUCCGACACCGGCCACUUUGCUCCUCUCCAGGGGUCCCAAUAUGUUCACCAGAUUGGCAUGUAUCAUACUAACCUUGCCCAGGAGUAAAAAUAAAAUAAAAUAAAAUUAGAUGAGA